rnacentral:lncRNA from 10 species
CCCUGCUGGUGCUGGCUCGGUGGCCAGUGCUAACUCGGCUGGCCUACCCUCGAGCUGCUCCCUGCUAGGGCAGAGUGGCCACGGUGGGUGUUCCCGUUACUGUGGCUGCAGAGCACAUUCAUUCAGCUCACAAAGUCUGUGGGUCAGGAAUUUGGGCAGGACACAGAGGGAACGGCUUGUCUCUGUGUCAUGACGUUUGGGGCCUCCACUGAAUGACUCAGAGGCUAGGGCUCGAACAUGGAGGCUGGGUCGCUGCCACGCUGGCUGUCUGGGGUAAAAUGGUAAUUUAUGUUACGUGUAUUUUACAAUUUUAGAAAAAAGAUAAUAAAAACUGGCUAAACUGCAAAAAGUCAGUAAGAAAAUAAGAACAAUUACAUUUCCAACUUAAACGUCUUUCUGAACUGUUUUAUUUUUUGAGGUAGAUACUAUUUAUUAUUUCUCAUUCUACAGGUGAGAAAUCUGAGCCUUGGAGAUGAGAGAUAACUCACCUAAUGUUAUAUAGAUAGGCAGUAACCUCUGCCUCCUAGGUUCGAGCAAUUCUCCUGCCUCAGCCUCCCAAGUAGCUGAGACUACAGGUGUGGGCCACCACACCCAGCUAAUUUUUGUAUUUUUAGUAGAGACAGGGUUUCAUCAUGUUGGCCAGGCUGGUCUCGAGCUCCUGACCUCAGGUGAUCUGGCCACCUUGGCCUCCCAAAGUGCUGGGAUUACAGGCGUGAGCCACUGAGCCCAGCCAACUCUGGUGUUUUUUGUUUUUGCAUUUUUUUUUUAACAUGAGAAAACACUGAAAUGGGUUUUCUGGGUUUUCCAGUACAAGUCUCAGAUUGAGACAAAAAAAAAAGAGUAAAAUUAUUCUGCACACCUAAAGUAAUAGGUUGUCUUCUUUAGGUGAGUGAGAGAGAGAGAGAGAGAGAGCGAGAGAGCUGCUUGAAGGCACUAGCAGGCUGCCAGCAUCUGAAGAGCUCCUGGACCAGGGUCUCAGGAAUGACACAGGCCUGGGGUGGCCUGAUGUUUGGGGCUGUUUCCACCUCAGAGACAUUUGGUGAUUCGGGCGGACACUGGGGCCCUGGGCGAUGUUUUUGACGGAGUUGGUGGGGGGUGUGCGCUGGUAAAUGUCUCCCUUUGCUUGGGACCCCAGAGGCCUUGGAUCCCAGCAGCCAGGGUGAACUGGGAAGAAAAGGAGCACAGGGCAGGUGUGACUCGGGAACAGCACUCAGAUGCCGGAGUUGAUCCAUGAAGGUUCAGCGGACUGAGUGCGCCUACUAUGAAACAAAUGCUUGUCAGGUCAGACAAGGAGAGUCAAGUCCGAUGAUAUCUUGUUUAUGAGCCGCAUCUAGAGCGUAAGGAUGGAGCAGGGAGGAAGGGGGAAGGUUGGAGGAAGACGCAUCCACAGGCCCUGGCCAAGGGAGGCGGGAGCUGGGCUGACGGGGGAGCAGCCUGUGGGCCCUGAAACCCUCCCUGCUCUCCUUGCCAGCACCUGCUCAUCCUCAAUGUCCCUGUCAUUCCCUCAGUGGGUACGUUUUCAGUGCCUUCUCUGUGCUAGGUGCCUGGUACCAGGUGUCACGGAUUCAGAGUGGACAAAAUGGAAAAACACCACAAUCUUCCUCCUCGUUGGGGAGACAGACAAACUGUACAUAAAUAAAUGAUCGUGCUCCUUUCGGGGAGAGAUAAGAGCCAGGUGGACAUAAACAGGCCUUGUCUUCUGCCCCCACCAGACAGGGCACGUCCAAAUUAGCACCCUGUCUGCCUCCCUCACCUAAUUUCCUCCCCUCCUACCCCCAUGCAAAUAUAGCCACUGUGCCUUGGGCUGCAGCUGCCGUCCCCACUCUGUCUGCACACUGGGAGCCCCUCGAGCAUGGACAGGAUCUUGGGGCUCUGAAUUUCCAGUGCCCAGUGACCGUGGCAGGAUAUAAGGCUUUAGUUUCCCGAGGACAGGGGCUGGACCAGCUGUUUUC